CCCACUGAUUCGUGGUGGAUGACGAAAGCCAAUCUCUUGCAAACUUGACAGAUCUACAUGUACUCUGCUCAACGAUUAUUCCACCAUGCCGUGAAGACAACUUCAUCGAGGUCGUCGUGAAGAGGAACUUGAUUCCCUGGACCAAUAGUUCAUCAAUGGAAACGAAUGGAGCAGCGUGCAUAAGUUUAUUUAAGGUAUCCCUAAUCGUAACGUAAAUAAAUAAAAUAUCAUUAAACAGCGAUUAAUGCCGUAAA